CAGGCUUAACACAUGCAAGUCGAGGGGCAGCAUGGUCUUAGCUUGCUAAGGCCGAUGGCGACCGGCGCACGGGUGAGUAACACGUAUCCAACCUGCCGUCUACUCUUGGACAGCCUUCUGAAAGGAAGAUUAAUACAAGAUGGCAUCAUGAGUCCGCAUGUUCACAUGAUUAAAGGUAUUCCGGUAGACGAUGGGGAUGCGUUCCAUUAGAUAGUAGGCGGGGUAACGGCCCACCUAGUCUUCGAUGGAUAGAGGUUCUGAGAGGAAGGUCCCCCACAUUGGAACUGAGACACGGUCCAAACUCCUACGGGAGGCAGCAGUGAGGAAUAUUGGUCAAUGGGCGAGAGCCUGAACCAGCCAAGUAGCGUGAAGGAUGACUGCCCUAUGGGUUGUAAACUUCUUUUAUAAAGGAAUAAAGUCGGGUAUGGAUACCCGUUUGCAUGUACUUUAUGAAUAAGGAUCGGCUAACUCCGUGCCAGCAGCCGCGGUAAUACGGAGGAUCCGAGCGUUAUCCGGAUUUAUUGGGUUUAAAGGGAGCGUAGAUGGAUGUUUAAGUCAGUUGUGAAAGUUUGCGGCUCAACCGUAAAAUUGCAGUUGAUACUGGAUAUCUUGAGUGCAGUUGAGGCAGGCGGAAUUCGUGGUGUAGCGGUGAAAUGCUUAGAUAUCACGAAGAACUCCGAUUGCGAAGGCAGCCUGCUAAGCUGCAACUGACAUUGAGGCUCGAAAGUGUGGGUAUCAAACAGGAUUAGAUACCCUGGUAGUCCACACGGUAAACGAUGAAUACUCGCUGUUUGCGAUAUACUGCAAGCGGCCAAGCGAAAGCGUUAAGUAUUCCACCUGGGGAGUACGCCGGCAACGGUGAAACUCAAAGGAAUUGACGGGGGCCCGCACAAGCGGAGGAACAUGUGGUUUAAUUCGAUGAUACGCGAGGAACCUUACCCGGGCUUAAAUUGCAGAUGAAUUACGGUGAAAGCCGUAAGCCGCAAGGCAUCUGUGAAGGUGCUGCAUGGUUGUCGUCAGCUCGUGCCGUGAGGUGUCGGCUUAAGUGCCAUAACGAGCGCAACCCUUGUUGUCAGUUACUAACAGGUUCCGCUGAGGACUCUGACAAGACUGCCAUCGUAAGAUGUGAGGAAGGUGGGGAUGACGUCAAAUCAGCACGGCCCUUACGUCCGGGGCUACACACGUGUUACAAUGGGGGGUACAGAGGGCCGCUACCACGCGAGUGGAUGCCAAUCCCCAAAACCUCUCUCAGUUCGGACUGGAGUCUGCAACCCGACUCCACGAAGCUGGAUUCGCUAGUAAUCGCGCAUCAGCCACGGCGCGGUGAAUACGUUCCCGGGCCUUGUACACACCGCCCGUCAAGCCAUGGGAGCCGGGGGUACCUGAAGUGCGUAACCGCGAGGAGCGCCCUAGGGUAAAACUGGUGACUGGGGC
rnacentral:rRNA from 1 species